GAGCACGUAGGUGGGUUUGUAAGUCAGAUGUGAAAGCCUUCUGUUCAACGGAAGAAUUGCAUCUGAAACUGCGAAUCUUGAGUAUAGGAGGGGAGAAUGGAACUUCUGGUGGAGCGGUGAAAUGCGUAGAUAUCAGAAGGAACGCCGGCGGCGAAAGCGAUUCUCUGGCCUAUUACUGACACUCAGUGUGCGAAAGCUAGGGGAGCAAACGGGAUUAGAUACCCCGGUAGUCCUAGCCGUAAACGAUGGGCACUAAGUAGAGGGAAUUACCGAUGUUCUCUCUGCCGUAGCUAACGCAUUAAGUGCCCCGCCUGGGGAGUACGGCCGCAAGGCUAAAACUCAAAAGAAUUGACGGGGGCUCGCACAAGCGGUGGAGCAUGUGGCUUAAUUCGAUGCAACGCGAAAAACCUUACCGGGGCUUGACAUGGUAGAAGUAGGAACCCGAAAGGGUAACGAACGGUAUCCAGUCCGUAGCUAUUACAGGUGUUGCAUGGCUGUCGUCAGCUCGUGUCGUGAGACGUUGGGUUAAGUCCCCUAACGAGCGAAACCCUUGUUUUUAGUUACCAGCGGGUUGUGCCGGGUACUCUAGAAAGACUGCCGUCGUCAAGACGGAGGAAGGUGGGGAUGACGUCAAGUCAUCAUGGCCCUUAUGCCCCGGGCUGCACACGUGCUACAAUGGUCGGUACAAACGGAAGCGAAGCCGAGAGGUGAAGCGAAUCC
rnacentral:rRNA from 1 species